GAUGAACGCUGGCGGCGUGCCUAAUACAUGCAAGUCGAACGCAUAGCGAAAGGUGCUUGCACCUUUCAAGUGAGUGGCGAACGGGUGAGUAACACGUGGACAACCUGCCUCAAGGCUGGGGAUAACAUUUGGAAACAGAUGCUAAUACCGAAUAAAACUUAGUGUCGCAUGACACAAAGUUAAAAGGCGCUUCGGCGUCACCUAGAGAUGGAUCCGCGGUGCAUUAGUUAGUUGGUGGGGUAAAGGCCUACCAAGACAAUGAUGCAUAGCCGAGUUGAGAGACUGAUCGGCCACAUUGGGACUGAGACACGGCCCAAACUCCUACGGGAGGCUGCAGUAGGGAAUCUUCCACAAUGGGCGAAAGCCUGAUGGAGCAACGCCGCGUGUGUGAUGAAGGCUUUCGGGUCGUAAAGCACUGUUGUAUGGGAAGAACAGCUAGAAUAGGAAAUGAUUUUAGUUUGACGGUACCAUACCAGAGAGGGACGGCUAAAUACGUG
rnacentral:rRNA from 1 species